GACGAACGCUGGCGGCGUGCCUAAUACAUGCAAGUCGAGCGGAGCGGCGGACGGGUGAGGAAUGCCUAGGAAUCUGCCUGGUAGUGGGGGAUAACGUUCGGAAACGGGCGCUAAUACCGCAUACUAUCAGAUGAGCCUACGUUGGAUUAGCUAGUGGGUGGGGUAAAGGCCUACCAAGGCGACGAUCCGUAACUGGUCUGAGAGGAUGAUCAGUCACACUGGAACUGAGACACGGUCCAGACUCCUACGGUAGGCAGCAGUGGGGAAUAUUGGACAAUGGGCGAAAGCCUGAUGCAGCCAUGCCGCGUGUGUGAAGAAGGUCUUCGGAUUGUAAAGCACUUUAAGUUGGGAGGCGUUACCAACAGAAUAAGCACCGGCUAACUUCGUGCCAGCAGCCGCGGUAAUAC
rnacentral:rRNA from 1 species